GCGCUCGCUCCGGCAGCACAUACACUAGAUUUGGAAUGAUACAGAGAAGAUUAGCAUGUCCCCUGCACAAGGAUGACGUGCAAAUCUGUGAAAUGUUCCAUAAUUUU
ensembl:snRNA U6 U6 spliceosomal RNA